rnacentral:lncRNA from 1 species
GGAGAUGGUACAGGCGCUUUACGAGGCUCCUGCUUACCAUCUUAUUUUGGAAGGGAUUCUGAUCCUCUGGAUAAUCAGACUUCUUUUCUCUAAGACUUACAAAUUACAAGAACGAUCUGAUCUUACAGUCAAGGAAAAAGAAGAACUGAUUGAAGAGUGGCAACCAGAACCUCUUGUUCCUCCUGUCCCAAAAGACCAUCCUGCUCUCAACUACAACAUCGUUUCAGGGUAAAUUGAUUUUGCUACCUGAAGUACUUGUAUUUGGCUUCUUGUAGUAACCUGCAGUCUAUAGUGCUUUAUAUGUAGUAGUCCUUUUUUUAUCUGAAACAAAACAUUUUGAAGUUCCCAGGAGUAACAGCUUUAGCUCCUGAUUUUAAAAAAUUUAUUCUAGGGAUGAUACAGGCAUUUUUUAAAAUCUCCAAUUUAAGCAUUAAUGUUUGCCCUUUUUUCCAAGAAUGCACACAUGUUAAUAUUUCCAAUGGUCGAACACUUAAAAUGAAAAGCAACAGACUUCUGCUUUUUACCCAUCUGGUUAUUUUCUGAUUUUAAAUUUGUCGCACGUUACCCUCAUAAUUCUAGAUACUGUAUAGUAUGCUUAACUACCAUUUGUUGAUUCAUCAACUACAGACAACACCUGUUGAUCCCCACAAUAUGAAUUAUGGAGCUUCCGCUCACUUAUGCCUCUUUCCUCCUUGCUUCCAGUGUCUCAUCUAUUUUUUACUUUUCAUUCUCUUGGCUAUCUUUGCUAUAUUGUAUGUAUUUUCAUUAAUUAAGAAAUACAGUAAGAAUAUAGAAAGUUAUCAGAUAU